rnacentral:lncRNA from 1 species
CAGAAAAGAAUCAGAGGGCACCUUCUGUAACACAGGCCCUGACUCUCUUCCUUCUGAUGAACCUCGCACUGUGACACAGGGGAGAAUCCCAGAGGACAAGAUCCUAAUGAAGCACAGAUCAAAUCAGUUCUCUCCACCAUUAACUGCAAACAAUAAAGAAUACAUUCUUUGAUGGCAGUAACCAGGAGCUGUGAGACUUUUAGACUCUUAAAUCUCUGAAGUGUGCCUACUAAAUGAAUGGAAGUUUUCCCAAAGGACUGGACUCUAACAGAGGCCAUUCUCACCAUUGAUGUGGAUGUGACAUUCCCGGUGCAGCUGUGCUUCAGGAGAAGAAAGAUAUGCUGGACACGCGGGCACCCUGGCAGUGACCCAGAAAGAUGGUAAGGCCAUUGUGUAGGUCACUUUUUCAUGGCCAAAGACAUAGCCUAACUCUUCUGUUAUCAUCUGUAUGGAAAUCGUUGUUCCUUCCUCCUAACCCCUUAAUAAUCAUGGAGUGAGUUAAUGCCUACAGCAUGGAAAAAAGAUUAAGGAUUAAUUGUGGGGGAAAAGCUCCAUUGCAAACAGUUUAUAAAAAGACAGCUUGCUUGGAUACAGUUGUUAGUACUGUAUAUAUGUUAAAAUUUGCACUUGAAUGUCCACAUGCAUUGAGAUAUAUGUCAGUAUUGAAGGUAUUUUACAUCAGAUACUCCAUGUAAGCCGAUACCAUUAUGUAAUGAUGUGUAUCACUGUGUUCUCAAUGUUUUCUAGAAAAGUGAAUAACAUUAGCAAUAGGAAAGGAAAUAGAACCAUAAAUGGUUUGUUAAUUGUUGUUCUGUGAUAUGGGCAUUAACCUGUGUAUGGGUGGCUGCGUGUGGGUGUGCGUUCAUAUUUUUGAGUGUGAGCUUUGUCUUCUGUGCACACACAAUACUACUGUCACCUGGUGCUUUGAGUUGUGCUUCCAGAGAUAAUGAAGAAUUUAUGCUAAUAUAUGCAUUUGACUAAACCCGCUUAUAAUUAAGGGGCAUGAGUUUUCCAGACAAAUGACGUGGGUCAGCUGUGACCACUGAAGCUUGUAACCACUGAAAAGCUAAAAACUACUUUGCCCUAAGGUCAAGUUCCUUAACCUCAGCUAAGAAUGCCAAGUCUUCAUUGAGCAAUGCUGCUCAGCAGAGACAGCAGAAGAGGACCACUCUAUGCGCCCUAGAUCUAUCUUACUUUACAUCUUCCUUUGUAUUUUAUUGUAAAAGUUCUUCAGUUUAAUCAUCUUUCCUUUAGAAAAGGGCCCUGAUAACAUCUGCAAUCAUUCCUUUCAAUUACCAUGUUUGGCCUUCAAAAAGAGGGCAUUUCAAUUUCAUGGUCAAACACAGGAUGCAAUUUUGUACUUGAAAAUAAUGGCAAGAGCUAGACUGGGACAUGGAGGCAGAUGACAUUUUAGCUACCAAUGACCUAGCAUGUUACUGAUUGAACGAGAGCAUCUGAAAUAUCCCCCAGAGUUUCUAGGAAAUUUUAGAACUAGAUUUAUAUUUUGAAACUGCAGAUUAAUAUACUGAAAGAAUUAUUAUCUGACAGACACAACAAAUUAGUACUUGGACUUCAGAAUAAAUGCUGUUGGCAGCAAUUAUUAAAAGCAGUAAUAAGUGCUGUUGAUCUGGCCGCCACUUCCUUCCCUUCCUAAAGUUUUGAUGAAACAUAACCUUUUUGAUGUCACAGGACUAACAAAGAUCUUGAAGUUGAACUGAUACCCACUGGCAUACUGAAAACUGGCAUUCUCUCUUCUAAAGGAUCAGCAUGAAGUCUUGACAAUAAA